rnacentral:rRNA from 1 species
AUGCUUUGGAAAACUUGGGCGCCACCAAAGGCUAAAUUCUUCGCUUGGUUGGCUAUCCAAGACAGAAUUUGGACUGUGGAUAGACUACAAAAACAUGGAUGGCCAAAUUGUGGUCUUUGCACCCUUUGCAAGCGAGAACAACAAAGUGGACCACAUCCUUUCUACAAAUGUUGCUUCACCAUUAGGCUAUGGAACUUGGUCAUUGGAAAAUUUGGGCUUCAUCAUAUGGACACCUCUAUGUGGCAUCUUGAGAGUUCGAUCAAGGAAUGGUGGACAAAUAGGACCGGCGCCAGAGUCCCCAACAGGAAGGCCAUGGCCUCUCUAACCAUGCUCAUGUCAUGGACCAUUUGGAAUGAGAGGAAUGCCUGUGUUUUCCGGAACAAGAGUGCUCCACCACCAAUCUAUCUUCUGUGA